ensembl:ncRNA C05E11.17 ncRNA
AAUUCAGACAAACAUGCAAAUGAGGGGGGUCGUCGUAGAACAUUCGUCACAUUGGCACCUAACAUGCCUUUACGGGCGCGCGUAUAGUGUCCCAAUGUUGCGAAUUUCAUUUGAUUGAUAGACAGUUAGGCUCGGUGGC